GUCAGUGUGUGGACAUCUUAUUUUCCAGGUCCCUCUCCCAGGUCUUCUCCAGCAGUGAGUCACCGUCUUCCCCAGGUUCUGCAGGAAGAAGGCAGAGGCGCUUCUGUGCUCUGUCCACCCGAUAUGUAUAGGCCAGAUGUGAUCGCAAUAUUUUCUUUCCAUCCUGAUGCCAACCUAAGGAGGAUCCUUCCAGCUAUCCUGCAAGAGACUCCCCUAUGCUGCAUUGAGAAUAAUACUCAGGUUAGAGAUGCUUCGAGAUCCUCCCUGCAAAAUCUUUGCCUUGGCACUUGGCUCCCAGGGAGUCUCAUUUAUGUGUCCCACCAUAAAUCAUGGCUAGCUUAGAGACUAGAAGUGGGAACUGACCACAUCUCUACCUGCUUUCCUGGAAGAAGAUGAAACAGAGUUAUCAGCCGUGGGAGUCAAAGAGAACUAACUAAA
ensembl:lincRNA